rnacentral:rRNA from 1 species
UACGUAGGGUGCAAGCGUUGUCCGGAAUUAUUGGGCGUAAAGAGCUCGUAGGCGGUUUGUCGCGUCUGCUGUGAAAACUCGGGGCUUAACCCCGGGCCUGCAGUGGGUACGGGCAGACUAGAGUGCGGUAGGGGAGACUGGAAUUCCUGGUGUAGCGGUGAAAUGCGCAGAUAUCAGGAGGAACACCGGUGGCGAAGGCGCCACUCUGGGCCGGUACUGACGCUGAGGAGCGAAAGCGUGGGUAGCAAACAGG